CUGGUUGAUCCUGCCUGUAGCAUAUGCUUGACUUGGAGACUAAGCCAUGCAUGUCUAGGUAUAAGUUAUAUACAGCAAAACUGCGAAUGGCUCAUUAAAACAGUUAUAAUUUCUUUGGUGAUUUUAUUACAUGGAUAACCGUGGGAAACUAGGGCUAAUACAUGCAUAAAGGCCGCAAGGCUGUAUUUAUUAGUCUUAAACCAAUAUGGGUCAACCAUAUUAGAGGAAUCAUAAUAACUUAUCGAAGCGCAGUAAAAUGUGCUACACCAUAUAAGUUUCUGCCCUAUCAGCUCUCGAUGGUAGUGUAUUGGACUACCAUGGCUAUCACGGGUAACGGGGAAUUGGGGUUCGAUUCCGGAGAGGGAGCCUGAGAAACGGCUACCAUUUCUAAGGAAGGCAGCAGGCGCGUAAAUUACCCAAUCCUGACUCAGGGAGGUAGUUAAUAGAAAUAACAUACUCGGUCCUUCGGGACUCUGAGAAUGUAAUGAGGGCAGCUCAAAACACUGUUCGAAUCCUAUUGGAGGGCAAGUCUGGUGCCAGCAGCCGCGGUAAUUCCAGCUCCGAUAGCGUAUGUUAAUGUUGUUGCAGUUAAAACGCUCGUAGUUGAAACUCCGGCGAGUUCUACUCGUCUGCCUGCAAAAACUGACGAUGAAGAAACGAUUUGUCUUUUGGAGCAGGCUUUCACCAUGAACAAAAUAGAGUGCUCAAGGCAGGCUAUUGCUUGAAUAAUUCAGCAUGGAAUGAUAAAAUAGGACUUUAUCCAUUUUAUUGGUUAUCGGGUAAAGUAAUGAUUAACAGAAACAGUUGGGGGCAUCAGUACUUAAUAGUCAGAGGUGAAAUUCUAUGAUUUAUUAAAGACUAACUAAUGCGAAAGCAUUUGCCAAGGAUGUUUUCAUUAAUCAAGAACGAAAGUUAGGGGAUCAAAGACGAUUAGAUACCGUCGUAGUCCUAACCAUAAACUAUGCCGACUAGGGAUUGGUGAGGAAAACCCUCAUCAGCACCUAAUGAGAAAUCAAAGUCUUUGGGCUCUGGGGGGAGUAUGGUCGCAAGGCUGAAACUUAAAGGAAUAGACGGAAAGGCACACCAGGAGUGGAGUCUGCGGCUUAAUUUGAUUCAACACGGGAAAACUUACCAGGGCAAAAAACUGAUAGGAUUGACAGUUUGAUAGCGCUUUCUUGAUCCGGUAGCAAGUGGUGCAUGGCCGUUCUUAGUUGGUGGAGUGAUUUGUCAGGU
rnacentral:rRNA from 1 species